GAUGAACGCUGGCGGCGUGCCUAAUACAUGCAAGUCGAGCGAACGGACGAGAAGCUUGCUUCUCUGAUGUUAGCGGCGGACGGGUGAGUAACACGUGGAUAACCUACCUAUAAGACUGGGAUAACUUCGGGAAACCGGAGCUAAUACCGGAUAAUAUUUUGAACCGCAUGGUUCAAAAGUGAAAGACGGUCUUGCUGUCACUUAUAGAUGGAUCCGCGCUGCAUUAGCUAGUUGGUAAGGUAACGGCUUACCAAGGCAACGAUGCAUAGCCGACCUGAGAGGGUGAUCGGCCACACUGGAACUGAGACACGGUCCAGACUCCUACGGGAGGCAGCAGUAGGGAAUCUUCCGCAAUGGGCGAAAGCCUGACGGAGCAACGCCGCGUGAGUGAUGAAGGUCUUCGGAUCGUAAAACUUUGUUAUUAGGGAAGAACAUAUGUGUAAGUAACUGUGCACAUCUUGACGGUACCUAAUCAGAAAGCCACGGCUAACUACGUGCCAGCAGCCGCGGUAAUACGUAGGUGGCAAGCGUUAUCCGGAAUUAUUGGGCGUAAAGCGCGCGUAGGCGGUUUUUUAAGUCUGAUGUGAAAGCCCACGGCUCAACCGUGGAGGGUCAUUGGAAACUGGAAAACUUGAGUGCAGAAGAGGAAAGUGGAAUUCCAUGUGUAGCGGUGAGAUGCGCAGAGAUAUGGAGGAACACCAGUGGCGAAGGCGACUUUCUGGUCUGUAACUGACGCUGAUGUGCGAAAGCGUGGGGAUCAAACAGGAUUAGAUACCCUGGUAGUCCACGCCGUAAACGAUGAGUGCUAAGUGUUAGGGGGUUUCCGCCCCUUAGUGCUGCAGCUAACGCAUUAAGCACUCCGCCUGGGGAGUACGACCGCAAGGUUGAAACUCAAAGGAAUCGACGGGGACCCGCACAAGCGGUGGAGCAUGUGGUUUAAUUCGAAGCAACGCGAAGAACCUUACCAAAUCUUGACAUCCUUUGACAACUCUAGAGAUAGAGCCUUCCCCUUCGGGGGACAAAGUGACAGGUGGUGCAUGGUUGUCGUCAGCUCGUGUCGUGAGAUGUUGGGUUAAGUCCCGCAACGAGCGCAACCCUUAAGCUUAGUUGCCAUCAUUAAGUUGGGCACUCUAAGUUGACUGCCGGUGACAAACCGGAGGAAGGUGGGGAUGACGUCAAAUCAUCAUGCCCCUUAUGAUUUGGGCUACACACGUGCUACAAUGGACAAUACAAAGGGCAGCGAAACCGCGAGGUCAAGCAAAUCCCAUAAAGUUGUUCUCAGUUCGGAUUGUAGUCUGCAACUCGACUACAUGAAGCUGGAAUCGCUAGUAAUCGUAGAUCAGCAUGCUACGGUGAAUACGUUCCCGGGUCU
rnacentral:rRNA from 1 species